CACAUGCAAGUCGAGCGCUCGUAGCAAUACGGGAGCGGCAGACGGGAGAGUAACACGUGGGAACGUACCCUUCGGUUCGGAAUAACCCAGGGAAACUUGGGCUAAUACCGGAUACGUCCGUAAGGAGAAAGAUUUAUCGCCGAGGGAUCGGCCCGCGUCCGAUUAGCUAGUUGGUGGGGUAAUGGCCCACCAAGGCGACGAUCGGUAGCUGGUCUGAGAGGAUGAUCAGCCUCACUGGGACUGAGACACGGCCCAGACUCCUACGGGAGGCAGCAGUGGGGAAUAUUGGACAAUGGGCGCAAGCCUGAUCCAGCCAUGCCGCGUGGGUGAUGAAGGCCUUAGGGUUGUAAAGCCCUUUCGGCGGGGAAGAUAAUGACGGUACCCGCAGAAGAAGCCCCGGCUAACUUCGUGCCAGCAGCCGCGGUAAUACGAAGGGGGCUAGCGUUGCUCGGAAUCACUGGGCGUAAAGCGCACGUAGGCGGGUCCUUAAGUCAGGGGUGAAAUCCUGGAGCUCAACUCCAGAACUGCCUUUGAUACUGAGGAUCUCGAGUUCGGGAGAGGUGAGUGGAACUGCGA
rnacentral:rRNA from 1 species